UGGGAGGAGGAGCAGGAGGAGGAGGAGGAGGACAGCAGAGAGCUGGAGACUGGAAGUGUUCAAACCCUAACUGUGGAAACCUGAACUUCUCGUGGCGUAACGAGUGUAACCAGUGCAAGGCGCCGAAGCCGGAGGACGCCGGCGGGAUGCCCCCCAUGGAGAGAGGAGGAUAUGGUGGCGACCGGAGAGGUGGGUUUGAGCGGGGCGGCGGCGGCGGCGGCGGCGGCGGCUUCAGGGGCCGAGGCGGAGACCGUGGAGGCUUCAGGGGACGAGGAGGAGACCGAGGAGGGUACAGCCCUGGAAAGAUGGACGCUAGGGGCGAUCGCAGGCAGGAGCGGCGAGGCCGUCCCUACUAACUGGACAGACGUCCACAUCCUCCACCCGCUGCUCUCAUCUUCUCUUUAACUCCGCUCAUCCUGACCGGUGUGGAGAACCAGCCUGUUCUUGUCCCCGUGUUUGGUGUUUCCUCCUCUGUCAGGGGAAUCAACCCAGAGAAGAGGGUGAAUGCGUGAGGAACGUGGAAAUGUAAAAACCCGUCUGCUUUUCCCAGAUUUCCUAGAUGUGUAGCUGUUAGCGAUGAAACAUCAGCAGGGAAGGCGGAGACGAUCUGCCAGAAGAGAAAACCCACAAUCCUUGAAAUAAAUCCACGUUUAAAAUAAAAAAUGAGUUGAGACAGCAACAGAGAGCACACACUUCAACCAGCUAUCAUGGCAGAUUCACUGAAAUGUCUUUAUUUAUUCAUUUAUUUAUUCAUUAUUUGUUUGAUGUGAACAACUUUAAAGAUUCAACAUGCAUGACUUCAGUCUUCAGUUUCUGCUGCUGCAGCGACACGGUUCACAGAAUCCCUUCAUCAGGAGUUUAGGAUGCAGAGAACUUCUAUUUCCCUCCAGCCAAAUAAAAAACGGUGACGGUGUGUAACGGAUCAGACCAGCUGAAGCUCUGCCAGCUCUGCCGAUUGGCUGAGGCUGAACCUCCGGAGGUGUCUUUGUUUGAUCCUGUGUUUAUGACUUCCUGUCCUGUUGAUGUUUCUAUUGUGAGGAGUUUCAGAUAAAAAUGUGAUCAAAUUCAGUGAGUCCAAGCAUUUUUCUUCACAAGUGAUUCUGCUUCUGUUUAGCAAGCAGCUGGAAGACAGG
rnacentral:lncRNA from 1 species